UGGGCUAUUGCAGGAAACUCAUUGACUUGCAUAAAGCUCUUGAUUCAGGUGCGAGUAGUGCUGCGCCUAAUCAUCUUAAUAUGGUCUAAAAUGCUUAAUCAGUGUAAAACCUGGUGAAGUUUCUCGUUCAAAUUUACCUUUAAAGUUGUCAGUACUCUGGAGAUCUUUUGUUCUCGGGAACAUGCCUGGUGACACCAUUUCGUGUGUAAAUUUUUUCAUGAAGCCGUAACUGCUUUUCUUUUUGUCCUGGUGUAUAAAGCUACUAGUUGUACCCGUGGCUUCGCCACGCUAGUUUCAACCAUAUAGUAUAUUGAAAUUUUAAGCUUUAUACAUUUAUGAUGAUUAUAUACAUUUAUUAACUUCAAUUAAAUAGUACUAUAGUAAAUUUGAAAUCCAAGGCAAAAUAGUUAGUCAAUUCAUGUCUUAGAUAAUACAUUCUCUUGAGGUUGCAUCUCUGCAAAUGUUGUGUUCCAAACAUUUAUAGCUACAAAAUUAGAUACGUGUAAUUAAAAAAAUAUGGGGUUAUUUCUACUAAAAAUCACUUUGUCUAGCAAUCUGAUUCGACUUUUCAUUGGGGUUCUUUCUGCUACACAUCACUUUGUUGAGCGCAUGGCAGUGAGAAAAACAUGGAUUUGAAUCUGCUGUUGUCAGAUCAUUAAAUAUUGUGGCUUGUUUGUUUGUUUUUUUUGUUUUUGGCUGUCAGAUCUAAAACCUGGAUGACUGGAUGUGAAUGUAGCUACAAUGUGGGUUGAGAAAGCCAGGCUUGUGAUGAGAGAUAGGAGAAACUUCCAACUUUUAAUGAAUGCAAAUCUUUUCCUUGAUAUGAAGCUUACCAAUAUGUAGAAGAGGGGCAUCACAUUUGUAUGCAUGAAUUGUAAUGGCGAAGGGAAGGACGGGCUUACCAUAUUUGUUGUAAAGUUCAAGGAUAUUUAUGUAGGGAACAACUUUUACAUUGCACAAAGGUAAAAGUCUGCCGUUAUGAAGCUCCAGAAAAUUCUCCCAAGGCAUCUGAUGAUAAAAUGACAACUCAACAUUAGUAAUUGCUGCUGAAGUUAUGUUUUUGGCCGGUUCGCUGUUUAGGAUUUGUAACGUUUUUUUUUUUUUUGUAGUUGUGUCCUUAUCUGCUCUUUGCUAGAAUAGAGCUAUUUUAAAAAACCUAUAAUCUUUGAAGAAUGUCCUUAUUUAAUAGUAAAAUAAAAGAAUAGAAAAAUGAUGUAUGUGUUAUACAAAUUAUACCGCGUUCAAUCUACAUAAAAAUUAAUAUAUAAAUUUAUCACAUUUUUUUGGCGUAUCUAGAACAAUGAUGUCCUCUUCUCCUGAAUGUGUUUGAAUCUUUCAGAACAUUUUGCAAUGUAUAUAUAAUUUCCAUGAAACAGAGGUCUUUUUGCAUAUCACAGAAAUCUUCUUGCAAUAUGGUCAUUACAUUAAUUAUUCACACAUACUGACAUACACCUUCAGUCCAUACUAAUUCAAACGUGACAUACAGGGUCGGUCUCUCUAAUUAGGUGUGUAAUUUUGUGUAAAUGGAGGAUAAAUUUGCAUUGUAAAGGUCAUCUCAUAAAUCUCAUUCACAAAAUCAUGGCAUGGAGGCUAAGGGUGAAAUUUUUUCUAGCUUUGUGGAAAUUCUUAAGGAUUAUAUCGAACAAUAUUAUCCCAGUGUUUAUUAUUUUUAUACUCAUUUUCUUCCAUAACCUCAGAAUUAAAACAAUUUGAUAACGAAAAAAAGUAUAGUUUGAUCAGAUGAUGUUCCAACAUGAUGUUCCAACUGUGUACAUAAAAAUUGGCUCAAAACAACCAUUUAAUGAACCAAGCGAUACCGUUUUUUUUGUUUGAGGACUUGCUUGUAGUUUUUUUCACAUUUUUUUUUAAUCUGCAAUUGACAUAUACCAACAGAAAACAAACUCCAUAAAAGUUAUAAUAUCUCCGAACGUGAUGGUUUGUUUUGAUUAUCUAAUGUAACACAUACUUUGUACAAUAAAGUGGAAAAGAAAAUAGAUAUACUUGUGAGGUUUUCCAUUUUCCUGAGUGUGGAUGCUGGUAAAUUUGGAAGACGAACAAACCAAGUUGUAGUAGUAAUGAAGGAUAUCUUGAGUAGAAAGAUUGUAAGUGCAUCUUCAUUCAUGGCAAUCCUUGCAGGAUCAUGUGUAGCUGCCCAAGUCUGCUCUGCCAUUGUUACUGAAUUAUAUUGUGUGUGUGUGUCAGUGUAUGUGCGUAAAACUAAUACAUAUGGUAAUAUACACUUCUAAAAGAACACAUAUAUGAUGUACAGAUGUACAAACAAACUAUUUUUCUAGGAAAAAUAAAAUAAAAAGAUCUAUUGAAUUCAGAUAUUUUAACAAUGCAAUUUUAGAGAUUCGAACCCCAGAUCGACCUUUGGUAUCAUCAAAUAGCCUUUGUAAGCAACAUCUUAACUAUGUGACUAUAUACUUAAGCUUCAGAUGUUAUAAAGUGUCAAUUAGAUACAAAAUAAAAAGCCCUCAUAUGAUCACCCUAAUCAAAUCUAUAGAUGGUGAGGCACUUCUAUGCUCUUAACGAAAGAAGGACGUUCAUCAAACUAUUGUUCCUCCCCUUUAUUCAGACCUGCAGCUUGUUCAGCAGUUUGAUUAGCGCUAAAAUAAGCUUCCCUGUAAUUGUGUGAUAUCUUUAAUCGUUGGUAUAUUUCUGCGUUGGUAUUUGACAAUCCAUGUUACCUUGUUUUGCUGGAAGUAUUGAGCCACCAACUGUGAGCUCAUCUUUAUCCAUAACUUUUCCUAUAUUUUGUUUCCUCCAAGUUCUAUUGCUCCGAACACUGCUUGAAAUUUUGUUUCAUGGUUGUUGACCACUCGAAGUCCCACUAAAGCAUACUCUUAAGCUCCUAGCACAUCUGCCUUGAGAUCUAAGUAUCUAACUUAUUUAAUGGAAACACAGAAGAUAACUGAAAUCCAACUUCACUUAAUUCCUAUUAUCUACUGCACUAUCUUCUCUCUGUCAAUUUCUCAACCAACUUGGACAUUUCCACUGUUUUUCUCCUCUAUCACAGCUUUGAACUUGACAACAACUUCCAACUUUCUGUCCCUUUCCUUCUGUCCAUCCAUUAGACCUCGUCAUUCAUUUCUCAAUAUUCAAAGGAUCACAUUCUCCAGCAACUAUGUUUUGAUCUACAUACAAUUUUCAUACCAACAAUCUAAACAGUUGCUUGACAAUUAAUGUAAAGAAGGCCUCACCUUCUCCAACACCAUGUUUGUCUACAAAACGUAAUUGUCAAAGAAUUCACAAUGAGAUAUGGGUUGCGUCAGCAUCGUCAUUUGGAAGUACUACUACUGAGAUUAUAUAGUAUUUCUAUUAAUGGCAAGUCGGGUUCGGUUUUGAACCAAAUCGUCACUAAACGCUGAUGUAGGACAUCCUACCUACACCAAUUGGUUUCCUAUUUGGGUUAAUGUUUAUUUAGAAGUCAUUAUAAGUUUAGGAUUUCUAUUUUAGAGUCUAGAAGUUCUACAAUAGUUGGUUUACUAUUAAGUUGAUAUUAGUAAUACAAUUCAAAGUAGGAUUUGUAUUUUGAUUUAUUUGUUUAGGAAGUCCUAGUGCUAGUUGGUCUAAGUCUUUAGUCUAUAUAAAGAGUCAUGCUUUGUAGAACAAUUAUUCAACCAAUUCAAUUAUUCAAUCAAUACAAUUAAGAUUUGUCUCUACAAUUUAUUUUUCUUUAGUUUUGUUUUAGUUCUUCCUUGUUUCAAGGCAAUCCUCCCCUUGGGUUAUUCAAGGUUUGAUUUUUAAUCCCUUCCGCUACAUCAAUUGGUAUCAAGAGCUUCGUUCCGAUCCUACAAUGGUUAAUGACGGAGAUUCUUCACCGCGCUCCCAAGUCGGUAAUCUUGGAGAUUAUAUGACGAAGGUUGAAUUCAAUUUGGCUAUUGAUCGUCUCACCGCUUUAAUCGACAAUCUUACUCUUCGAUUUGAUAAGUUGGAAGGUAAGCAACCUAUUGUUGAUGCUUCUACCCUCCCACCCUCCUUCAUGCCCACUCUAUCUCAACCACCACCACACCCAUUCCCAUCACCACAAUUUUCCACCACCACCACAACUUUACAACAAGUUUCCUAUAUUGGUUUCUCAUCUCUCCCUAUUAAUGUCAACCCUCGACCAUUAAAAAACCUAACCUUACACCCCCAAUACUACAACUACCAAUACUCACAACGUUGUAAUUAAUACCUCUUAACCAUUUCACCUUUCUAUUACUCCACAAUUUGCCACAACCUAUACCACCAUUACUUCUCCCUCACAAUGUCAAAGUCAAACCCUACUUUCAACCACACCACCAACAAAUCAUGUUUGUCUCAAAGAAGAAAAAUGUUAUAAUAGAGAGCUACCAAGUUUUAAUGGAGAGCCAUCGAGUUUUAAGGAAGAUUCUUCCAAUAUCGUGGCCAAAAUUGAUGAAGCAAAACCAAUUUUUACUGAAGACAAAUAUCAUAAAGUUGAAAUCGCUGCGAAAGAUUCAUUACCUCUAGAUGUUCAACAUUAUGAUUUUAUUGGAAUUGAUCAUAUACUAUCACAAAAAGUUCUUUUUGUUCUCCAAAUCCAAGGUUUUGAAUCAAAAAACGAAACUACAACUUUCAUUAAUAUGAGGAAAGUUUACAAGAGUCUGUGUUAUUCAAAGUAUUUUUUCUUAUGGAGCGGACGAUAUCAAUACAACAUAAAUUCGAGGACGAAUUCUUUUGAAGAAUGGGGGACUGAUGUAGGACAUCUUACCUACACCAAUUGGUUUCAUAUUUGGGUUAAUGUUUAUUUAGAAAUCAUUAUAAGUUUAGGAUUUCUAUUUUAGAGUCUAGAAGUUCUACAAUAGUUGGUUUACUAUUAAAUUGAUGUUAGUAAUACAAUUCAAAGUAGGAUUUGUAUUUUGAUUUAUUUGUUUAGGAAGUCCUAGUGCUAGUUGGUCUAAGUCUUUAGUCUAUAUAAAGAGUCAUGUUUUGUAGAACAAUUAUUCAACCAAUUCAAUUAUUCAAUCAAUACAAUUAAGAUUUGUCUCUACAAUUUAUUUUUCUUUAGUUUUGUUUUAUUUCUUCCUUGUUUCAAGGCAAUCCUCCCCUUGGGUUAUUCAAGGUUUGAUUUUUAAUCGCUUCCGCUACGUCAAACUCACCGUGAAGUGGAUAGAUUAGUCUAUGACAAUGUUUUUAUGGAAGAGAUGGACAACAUACUGAGCAGUUUGAAUUUCUUCAAUGUAACAAAAAGCACACAGGGUUGAUGAUCGAUAGUAAUCAUCAUCAUGAUUUGCCAACCUAUGGUUUCAAAGUCCUUGAAAAAAGUUCCUCAAAUAAUAAUAUAUGUGUAAGUAAUAUAUGCAGCUUCAUGCAAAGAAACCAAGACAACCAAACUCCAUGGAUCACCUUAGUUUAAGUCAUGUUCUGACCAGCAAACUUGAUCAUUUAGACCAUACAUCAACUAAACUAACUAACAGAAACAGAAAAGCUCUGUGUCACUUUUUAAACUUACACUUCUACAGUCUUUCUAAUCUCUUUUUAAGCUUAUCUAAGAUAUGGUUCGUAGACUACUCCGUCUAAAGGAUGGAGUUAAAGAGCAGAGAUAGUCUUGUGCAAACCUUAUAAUCAUGGCUUGCACUCAAUAUCUUCAAAAUGUUUGAUUUAUCAUCCUCGAAGAAAUCCUAUAAAUGUAAAGACGAAAAUAAAAUUUGAGUCGAUUAUCAGAAGCCAUGUAUAGCAACCUUAGUUUUAAAACCAUAGGUUGGCAGCAUGAUUAUCGAAGAAAUGCUAUAAAUGUAAAGAAGAAAUGGAAUUACUUGUAGGCUUGUAGCAGCAUGGUUAAUUCGAUAUUUCUAAAUGGCACAUGAGAAUCUCUGUUGGCAAUAUCUCCUUGGUUGACCUUCGCAGUCUGCAUUUAAAUUAGAAUCAGAUCAGCUAGCAUAGUUCGAAGGGAACCGACCAAAUACAUGAAACCUAACUUCAUAUGCAUUUUCAGAACCAGCCAUGUCAACCUGCAUCAAUCUUCUUCUGACUGUAGGGACUUCCAAGAUUAUCUGCAAAGUUUUAAAUGCCAAGAUAAUAUAAUCAUAAUCCUUUCAUAAACAAAACAAAAAUAAAUGGGAUAAGUAUACAUUGACAAACCAUGCAGUGGCUUUUUGCCUUUUUUAGUUACAAAACACAAUCGAUUUUCUCGUUGCAUAUGCUUGUGCACAUGACUAAACUCAUAGAGAUUUAUAGCUUUGACUAAUGAACUGUUGUAUAAAGUGCGCCGAUUCAUUUUAUUGCCAAUUCAUUUGCUGAAAAGGAGAAACAUCGCGAGUCUGCAACAAACUUCAGUGACCCUACCUAAAGUUACAACUAAGGAGUUCAAACAUGGUUUAAGUCAUCAACAACAGGCAAGUAAGUAUAUCAAUCAUGGAUAGGUGUAAGUGUAAGAAUAAUCAUAUAGGUUUGUUGAUUCUAAAAUCCUCUGAAAACAUAGCCUUAUAAGCUAUAACAUGUGGAAUCCAUAAUUUACCUUACGUCCAGAAUAUGAACAGUAAAAAGUGGCAAACAACUGAUCUAUCGGAGUCAUUAAAUGCACUGAUCCAUAGUUCAAAAUCUCGAUCGACAAAUAUCUCAGCAACCCCAAAGCUUCAGAGCCGUACAUAAAAUGACAAAGUUUGAAAGCUUUGUAUUAAAUAAAGAUAAAUUCUGGAGUAAUUUUUCAAGCAUACCUUGACUGUUAACAUAACAGAAGUACCUGUUGCCGGUUGCAAUCCAGAAUGAACCCACCUAUCUGUACGAAAUUUGAUAAUUUGAAAGAAAACACUAAAUGGAACAGUAUUCAAAAUUUGGAAAUAAUACUAUUAUGCAUACAACCUUGGACUUGAAUGAGUUCGCCAGGUGCGAAGCAAUUGCAUAGAUUAAACUCAUCUAUUUGAGCUGAGUUGUCAUAAAAUUGCCUAAAAAGUAAUUGUAAAUGAGAAUUUGAAUAUCACAUUCCAAGUGAACAUAAUACCACCAAAAGGCUAUAACACUAAAAUGAAACUUGGGAAAAUAAUAAAAUACCAAAUGCAUGUGUUAUUCUCCGUUCACCUAAACAACAUUGUUUUUAAACAACAUUGUUUUGUAAUCGAUUGUUUCCACUUUGCUGAAUCACUUCUUUUUCAAGUUAAUUGAUUUUUUGCAAUAGGGAAAACACUAUUAGUUGCUUGAUUCCAGCUUUGUAAAUGCUCUUUUCAGAUCAAAUAUGGGCUAGGCAGUAGUUUGCAUGCUGUUAAUCUUGAAGAUAUUAUAACCUAUGGCUUAUAAGAAAGAGAAUGUUAAGUAGUGUCUUAUGUCUAGCCUGAAAGAACCAUUGAAGUCCGAGCACAAAAUUAAAUUAUGCAAGAAUCCAUAGCUAUAUUUUUAUUUUCCUUUUUUAUAUUGUGAGUAUUCUGUUAUCUAGAUGCAAUUCAUUUCUUAAACUAAAAACAAAUGGGAAUAACCGAACCAUGUAUAAAAAAAUGCCAAUCCCCUGGUCCCUGCAGAAAGGAAUGAAUUUCACGUUCUUCUUUUUUGGAAGGGAAGAUCAAGGAAAUCCUCUUGACUGCAGCUUUCUCCAAACCUCAGGGAAGAUUGCUCAGAAUCUUGUUUCCUCUUUAUCAACUGUUAAAACAUAAAAAUAAGAGGGCUAUACUAAAACUUGCAAUAACAUUAAAUGAAUAAAGACAUAAAUGGCCCAUGUAGGUCUCGAACCUACGCCUUCACAUAAAUAAUGCGACGCUCUGACCAACUGAGCUAAUAGGCCUUUUGUCAUUUUAACAUAACAGUCUAAAAAUUCUAUAACACCAAUGAUGUCCUUGAUGGACUCCAGCUUUGCUUCCUUUGCCAUUCCUUCAAGAGAGAAAAUUCAAAUAUCAUACAUAUAAUCAAACUUGGUAGUGUUCAAGUUAAGGAAGUAAGCUUCUAACAAUUUAACAUGUAAUUGUAGUUGUGUUCUCUUCAUUUCCUUGCAUUUCAGCCUAGAACAGAGGACAAACUACUUAACUAUUCCUUUAACUUUGUUUUUGUCCUACCAAGCCAAUUGGAGGUAAAGAAGUUGAUUAAAGACCUACUAUGACUAACGUAACUGUUAUGACCUAACGACAUGCCUAAAGAUUAGCAUAUUCCAAAUGUUUGAAUUAGCAAAGGAACACAAACUCUAUUUUUCAGUUACUCAUGGACAAAUCUAUGAAAUCCUAUAAACAAUAUUUAUAAUAUAAAUAAAUUAAAACAAAAAUGGUAUUUAUAAAACAAAAACUAAAACUAUAGAUUGGUUCACUCAAUAAAAGACUAACUAACUAUGAUCAGGAUUACAUUUCAUAAGAGACUGAACAAAAGAAAACUUAAGAUUACGAUGCAUAAAGUUAUAUUUCAUAGCCCUGCAAUACCUUCCAAUAGAUUUCCAUAAUUUAAGAAACAAUAAGCCAUAGAGAUAUAUUUGAUUAAGUUUUAGUUUUUUAGAAUGGUUUAGAAACUAAACUUUUGGAGGUGUUUUAAUCAACAAUAAUUACUUUAUGAAAUUAAAACUAAGUCACUAAACAACAACAGUCAUGUAGCGCAAACGAAUUGUCUAAUCAUUCUAAAAACUAAACUAUCAGAUAAGGUGGUUAGACGAAUAAUGAAGUUCAACAAAUUGCAUAAAAGUGAUCUAGCGAGAAAUUUCAUUCAAAACAGCAUACAACUAUCUAAUCUUAUAAUUACAGACUGUGUAGGCUCAUUAGGUGAUCACAAAAUAUGUGUAGGUCUGAACCAACUAAGAUGUCCCUCCCACAGACCUAUCAGAACCCCACAUAAACAGUACAUCCCAGACUCCCCCUAUCACAGAAAUGUCAGACCCUCAUUUGCUAGCCUACCUCAGUCUUCCGUUUUCAAGCUUGCCUAUUCUAGAAUCGACUCACUUUACAAUUCUAAUUAGCUCAUUAGCUGCUGCGAAGCUAAAUAUAAUUAAUGGUGUACGAUGCUUUUGGAAGAUCAAUAAUAUGAUUGAAAGAAGAGUUAUGAUGGCAUCUCCAUUACGACCAUGCAAGUAAAAAGGCUUGGUACUUGAUCUAUAAUACCAUAUGAUCAGUUCUGAAAUUAGAUUACUGCAAAGACUCUUACGUUCCACUUGUACCCGAAAUACAACAAUCCUAGGGGCUAUUGAAUUUACUAUGACUAUUAGCAAUGCCUUACCUUAAUUAGUACAGCUGUAGGAUACCUCGAGUGGUGAGUAUAUAUAUAUAUAUAUAUAUAUAUAUAUAUAUAUAUAUAUAUAUAUAUAUAUAUAUUCUUUUGGGUUAAGGCUUCUAAAUAUUAAUCAUUUUUUGGGUUCCACAUCAAGUUUGAGUGAAUAAUGAUUGAUAUAAGCCUUUCAAUUGAAUUUGGGUUGAAACUACAAAUGCACAUAUUACUGCCAGAUCUUACAGAACAUACUUUUAAAAUCAAAUCACAUAUAGUUCUUAAAUUAGGCUUCUAAAAUCGGGUGUUGUGAUAAGUAUGCUAGAAGAGACUCAAUUGCUACUGUGAAAGUUUCAAUCAGUUCUUUUGUUACAAUACUUGCGAAAGUUCAAGUAAGAUCAAUUUGAGACUCUGGGUACCUCUAAAUUGAUUUUCAUAAUAAUAAAUUUUUAUAUGGAUGUUUUUUUUGGAAGCCUAACCAACAGGCUACCAGUCUUUCACUUUUUGUUAUUCUCUCUCAUCACACGCCUAUUCAACAGGAAGCGCUAUAGGCAAAAACAAAACAGUAUAAUGUUCUUAAGAAAUUGAAAUCAAUUUGAUCUUCAAUCAAGAGAUAUGUAGGUGGCUAACUUUGAACAUCAUAACGUAAAGAUACCUCUAAUUGCUAGUUUUGACUGCAAUUGCAAUCUGUGCGAUUCAUUAAACUAAAUUGCAAUCUGCCCAAUCAUCUACCACUAUUAUUAUGUGUAAAAGAACAACAAUCAAACAGUCAAAGAACAAUCAAUAUUAAAUAAAUUUGUACCUGACAAAAACUUUGCAGAAGUUUUAUUGAUUGGGCGCCAACUGAAACCGGCACUAAGUUUGUUUGACAUCAAUUUUGUGACAUUGGUUGUCCAUGGUUAUCUCGCCUUGAGUUCAUUGUUAGGAAAACCAGUUGUACGCACAUCGUCCCGAGUCUGUGUCCUCGCGUCCAUGUGUCAAAAGUAAGUUUUGGGUUUAGGACGUACGUACCUAGUUAGGGCGUACGUACGUCAUGUUAGGCAGCAAACAUGUUUUGGUCAGGACGUACGUACCUAGUUAGGGCGUUCGUACGUCCAAGCAGGCAGCGAACUUUUACAGUGUGGAGACGUACGAACGUUGUUUCGACGUACGUACGUCCAAUGUGGAUUUCUUCUAUUUCGGCCCAUUUCCUGUGUAUUCCAACCCUAGGUAUAAAUAGGUUUACUUCUCCAAUGAACAAGUUAGUUCUUUGGCCGUCCAAUUCAUCUAGUCUUGGAGUUUGUUUAGGUCUUGAUUUUAGGUUGUUUUGGUGAUUGAACUCAUCUUCUUCUUCCCCAUUCAUCUUCUUCUUCCUUCUUCCCUAUUCAUCUUCUUCUUCAUUGUUCAAUAGUGAUUUAGCUUCGAGUCUUCUUGUGUGUUCAUCAAGAAGUCGAGUAUCCUUGUGUGUUCAUCAAGGAACUCUGAUGUAAGCUUGUUACAUAGAUCGACUUCGAGUCUUCUUGUGUGUUCAUCAAGAAGUCGAGUGUCUUGUGCGUACAUCAAGGUGCUCCGGUGAAGUCAAGGUGUUAGAGAUAACCAGUAGUGUCAACUCGCAGUGAUUGCAGGUAGUUGAUAGGUUUGUACAUCUCUUUUCAUCUAGUGGAUUUAUUUGUUGUCGCGAGGACAACCGUGGACGUUUCCCAUAUUGGGUUUUACCACGUUAAAAAUAUCGUGUGUUCUUUAUUUGUUUAUUGCUUUAUUGUUUGCUUUACUAUUGUUAUAUUGCACAUAUAUUGGGUUCUCAAUUGGUAUCAGGAGCAGGGCGCUUGUUAAGGAGCGUAAAGGCUCACGCGUAGAUCUUUAGUGCAAUUUUAAUGGAUUCUGAUAAAUUUGGAACACUAAUUUGUCCUCCUAAAUUUGAUGGAACUAAUUUUCCCUAUUGGAAAGUUCGUAUGGCUGCGUAUUUGCAGGCUAUGAGUGAGGAUGUGUGGAUCGCUGUGGAAGAUGGUUGGUCACCACCGAGAGUUACUACAGGUAGUACAGAUGAGGUUGUUACAAGUGUAAAGCCACGAAACACAUGGAGUGUGGAAGACAAAGUUGCUUCUACUAACAACCAAAGAGGGCUUAAUGCUAUAUUUAUGGCUUUGGAUGCUAGUGAAUUUCGGAGAGUUCAUGGUUGUAUAACAUCCAAAGAGGCUUGGGAUAGGUUGGUAAGAACUCAUGAGGGUGACAUUGCUGUCAAAGAGAGUAAGCUUGAACUUCUUAUUACUCAAUUUGAAACUAUGAAAAUGGAUAAUAAUGAAUCUUUUGAUGAAUUCUUUAUUCGUUUGUAGGAUAUUAUCAACACUAGUGCAUUUUUAGGUUUAGUGUACACCGAUACUCAAAUAGUACGUAAAGUUCUUCGUUCUUUGCCAUCUAGAUUCCGUUCUAGGAAAGAUGCCAUUCAAGAAAGCAAUGACUUAAAGACCAUGUUCAUAGAGACCUUAGCAGGAAAAUUGAGAACUUAUGAACUUGAGGUUCAACUUGAACAACCUCAAAAUAAAUCCUUUGCUUUUAAAGCUGGAUCUUUUGAGGAUGUGCAAGAUGAAAAAAUUAAUCAUGAUAAGUCUCUUGACACUAACCAACAUCUAAGUAUCAUUUAUCGUUAUCUCAAACAUAUUUUUAAGACUAUGAAAUAUAAUGGUUUGACUAACCAUGGUUUUGACGAAUGUAAGCUUCCCAAGAAAUUUGGUGCACAAGGGAUAGAACAACAAAAAAUCAAGUUAUCUACCACUUGGGAGGAAGAUGAAAGCGAUGAUGAUGAUGAUGUAGCGGAAGACCAUGCUACACAUUGUGUUGCCUAUGGAGCAUCUUUGAAUGAGAAUGUGGAUUGUCAGGUAACUGAUAUUGUCGAUCAUGAAUUCGAUGAUUCUAUUUUGGUAAGUCCUGGUGAGUUAAGGGAAUUACAUAUGUCAUCUGUUAAACAAUGUCAAUCAUUGCGUAAGACUAAUCAGAUUUUAAAUGAUAUGGUUGAGUCUCUUGUAAAAGAGAAAUCUGUACUUGCAGGUGAUAUGAAUGCCUUAUCUGAGGAGUUUUCCCAAGAAAAGCUAGAUUUCCAAUCUAGAAUUGUUUCUUUGGAAAUAUCCAAUCAUGAGAUCGAAGAUAAGUAUCGUACUUUGUUGUUGGAGCAUGAAGCUGUGAAAAAGGAUUUAUUUGCUUCUACUAAGCGAUUGCAAGGGUUUGGAAAAGCUUCGAUUGAUCUAGACACCCUUAUUAAAAGUGGAAAGUUUUCUUCAGAUAAGACUGGUUUAGGAUAUGAUUAUGUUGGAGCUUCUUCCAGUUGUGUUCCUCUUCCUCCUCCUACUUCUUUUGUGAGGCCAUCAUUGCCUCCUUUGUUACCAAAUCCUCAUAUUCCUACUUCGCCUCCACCUACCAAGGCUUUUGAAUCUAAGCCAAAUGUGAUGACCAAGAACAAGACAAGUCCUAAACAUAGACAUUUUAAGUGUUUUACUUGUGGUCGGUUAGGUCAUACUUCCGCUUUCUGUUGGGAUAAAAAUUCCAUGGUUCCAUAUUCUUCUUCUUAUGGUAAUAAUUAUUGGAACUCACAUUGUUCUUUUCCUGUACAGGCUCAUCAUUCCUCUUGGCCUCCUUUUAUGCGAAGAAGUGGCCCUAAAAAACCACAACACUUCAACAAUAGAAAGAGGGUUGUGCAAAAGGUCAUCAAACCACCUCACAUAUGGGAUAGAAGCAUCGAUGCUGCCAAAUGUAGUCUAGAGAAUGAGAGGUUAAGGAUUGGAAAGUCUACUAUCAGGGAUAAUAUUCAAAAAUCCUCCAUAUCCGGGUCCAACUUGCAGAAUAUCUCUCAAGUAUGGGUACGAAAGGAUGACUUGAACAUUCUUUUUUGACUUCUUAAAAUCAGAUUGAAUAUCAUCUUCGUAUUUUUAUUUUUAUUUUUAUUUUUAUUUUUAUUUUGUUUGUUUCUAGCCUUGUGUUAUUUGAAUUGCAUAUUUCUCUAACCACAUAGGCUAUUUGUUUGGUGUUUCUAUUUUUUUUAUGCUUUGUUUGUUUAGCUUGCAGAUCAUGUUGCAUGUUUGAAUACAUUGUUAUUAAAAAAAAGGGGUUGUUGGUUAUUCCUUCUAUUUUUUGUUUUCUAUUUAUUCCAUGUAUGUGUUGUUGGAUGCAUCUUUUCUGAGAUAUUGGUUUAAUUCAAUUGUGUUAAAUAAGGUGCAAUAUGUUUGGGUGUUUUCUUUUUCUGAACUCUUAAGUAUGUUUUGGUAUGUAUCAUGCAUUUUUCCUCGCUUGUUUGCACAGUGCACGGCAUGCUUGCAUAAUGGGAGUUUUUGGAAACCACUUACAUAUUCUUUGAGCUCAUAGAACUUCUCUAUCUCUCAAGUAUUUAUGUGAUCUUGAGCUAUCUCUCCUUUGUUUUGGUUAAUGUUCAUCUUGUUGUUCGUGUUAUUGAGCAUUCUUAUCUUCCUAUUACAACUCUUGUUAGUGGUCAAUGACUCACUUUAUCCCCAGCCAUUUGAUUGUUUUUGAAACAAUAUCAGUUGGCUAAGAACCCGUUGGGGUUGUGAGGGUCAUGCUCUGACGGAUGCACUCAAGAGAUGUUAGUUCUUGUGUUGCACGUUAUCAUGGUAUUGCACUUCUUGAGUUUGUGUUUGUCAAAAAGAUGUAGGCUACACCCUACCCUCGUGUAUUUGAAAAGAUGGAGGCAAAAAUCCCUCCCACGCGGGAAUGACAUUAGAGUGAUGUAGACUAAACUCCACCACAUGCGGCAAAAUAAAAAUCCAAGCGCAUAUUCACUGUUUUUUAUGUAAGGCAUACAAAGUUUAUAUUCCUUUGCCUUUUUCAUGUCUUGGUUUUCAUUUGAAAGAUCAUAUUUAUAUUCGUUUGCCUUCUACUCAUAACGUUUGUUUCAAAAGGGGUUGAAGUUUGUUUCUUCUAUGCUCACUUACUCAUCUAAUCGUAUGUCUCUUGUUGAUGGUUCUAUAUUCUAGGUCUUCAAAGGGUGUGUUCUAGUGGUGAACUUUCUCUCUCUUUAUGCAUUGCAUUGCAUCUACACACACCGAGGUUCAGUUUAUGAUGCACUUCAAUUCUCUUAUUUGUUCAAUCUUUUGUUUAUCCCCAUAUAUUGCCUCUUAUUUUUGUACGGAUUGGGAUUGGCUACUGUUUUUGGAAGUUCAUGAUGUGUUCCUCUUCACUUCUAUGGUACAUCGGUUUUUUUCCUUUUAUCUUCUUGUUAAGGUUUGUGAAGUUGUUUUAGUUAAGGAUGUUUCUAAUGUUAAUGGUGUUUGUGUUGUGCUGACAAGAGUUUGUUCUAUAUCUUCUGUUCAAUAUCUACUUCUUGUUAACAUGUUUUAUUCUUCUCUUCUUCUCUUAUUUGUUAUGGUUUCGGUUUUUUGUUUUCUCUUUCCUUUGUCACUUUACUUCAUUUGUGACAAAAAGGGGGAGAUUUAUGACUCUAAUACUAACAUUCGUUUCUUCCUUUGUUAGUGUAUUCUUGGGUCAUGUUGCAGGUAUGCUACACGUAUGGGGGAGUGAACGUGUUGAUGUUUAGAGGUUGUACCGUUAUGGGGGAGCUAGAGUGUCAAACUUUGGAGCUCAUGAAGUAUGGGGGAGUUGCUCGAGGAACUUCCGUUGGCACUUUGAUUGUUUCAGAAUUUCUUGUUGCUUCCGUUCGAUCUCUGAUAAUCAAACUGUCGGUGUUAGCUGGAUGUCACGAAUUGGUGACUUGGUAUGUGUUCUACCUUGAGUGUUUUUGUAGGCAUGUUUUAUAAAUGCCAUGGUUUGGGUUUGUAAGCACGUUUUAUAAGUGCUAUUAGAGUCAUAGGUUUUUGUCACAAAAUCAAUGUCAAAGGGGGAGAUUGAAACCGGCACUAAGUUUGUUUGACAUCAAUUUUGUGACAUUGGUUGUCCAUGGUUAUCUCGCCUUGAGUUCAUUGUUAGGAAAACCAAGUUGUACGCACAUCGUCCCGAGUCUGUGUCCUCGCGUCCAUGUGUCAAAAGUAAGUUUUGGGUUUAGGACGUACGUACCUAGUUAGAGCGUACGUACGUCAUGUUAGGCAGCAAACAUGUUUUGGUCAGGACGUACGUACCUAGUUAGGGCGUUCGUACGUCCAAGCAGGCAGCGAACUUUUACAGUGUGGAGACGUACGAACGUUGUUUCGACGUACGUACGUCCAAUGUGGAUUUCUUCUAUUUCGGCCCAUUUCCUGUGUAUUCCAACCCUAGGUAUAAAUAGGUUUACUUCUCCAAACAAUUUAGUUCUUUGGCCGUCCAAUUCAUCUAGUCUUGGAGUUUGUUUAGGUCUUGAUUUUAGGUUGUUUUGGUGAUUGAACUCAUCUUCUUCUUCCCCAUUCAUCUUCUUCUUCCUUCUUCCCUAUUCAUCUUCUUCUUCAUUGUUGAAUAGUGAUUUAGCUUCGAGUCUUCUUGUGUGUUCAUCAAGAAGUCGAGUAUCCUUGUGUGUUCAUCAAGGAACUCUGAUGUAAGCUUGUUACAUAGAUCGACUUCGAGUCUUCUUGUGUGUUCAUCAAGAAGUCGAGUGUCUUGUGCGUAGAUCAAGGUGCUCCGGUGAAGUCAAGGUGUUAGAGAUAACCAGUAGUGUCAACUCGCAGUGAUUGCAGGUAGUUGAUAGGUUUGUACAUCUCUUUUCAUCUACUGGAUUUAUUUGUUGUCGCGAGGACAACCGUGGACGUUUCCCAUAUUGGGUUUUACCACGUUAAAAAUAUCGUGUGUUCUUUAUUUGUUUAUUGCUUUAUUGUUUGCUUUACUAUUGUUAUAUUGCACAUAUAUUAGGUUCUCACCAACAAUUAAAAAGAAAAAGGAGAUCGAUUUGUUUUUCGAAAAGCUUUGGGAAGAAGAUUACUAUUACGCUAUACUUUGGAAGAAGAAGUAGAUCGAGUGUUAUUCUAAAUCUAUUUCUUUUCCAAAUAGUUUGUUGUUUUACAACUCUUCAAUAUAAUCUGAGCCACCGAUCUAACCACAGAUCUCUAUAAGGAUCUUAAGACGAUCCUAACCUUUGAACACAACUUAAGCUUGGACCCAACAUCAAUUUAAUCUCACCCACAGAUCUCCCCUCAACCACAGAUCUCUAGACAAUCCAGACCCUUGUUUGUUUUGUGCCAUCUCACAGUAUAAUAUAGAUUGAUUGUCUGACUUUUAUGUUCCUUGGGUUGUUGAGCUUUAUUGCAUAUAUAUAUAUUUUAAUGGUUUUGUUAUACGAAGUCUUAAAUCAAGAAUGCCUGCAUGACAGAUUGGUCAUGGACCAAUUGCAUUUUCUUAUAUUAAAGUUAGUGAAUCUUACAUCUAAUAUUAUAGUUCAAUGAUUAAUGGGUUUUUAUGUUGGCAAAGUAUUAAAUGGUGGUGGUAAUAGCACUGCUAUAACCACACAUGUUGUUGUGUGCACAUGCUUUUGUAGUUUUGUAAAGCUUCCAUUUGAUACUUGUUAUGGCAUUAUUUUUUGUGUAGAGAGGUGCAGAUCCAAAGGCUGUUGCACACAGACAUACGCCUUUAACACUUGCUUGCAGUGAAGAGAAUUAUGAUAUUAUCAAAUGCUUACUGGAAGUUGGGGCCGAUCCGAAUAUUUAAAUGAUGUGAGGCUGUCCGCAUUUUUUUCUUCUUUUCUUAUGUAAUAAGUUUCGAACUUCUGUUGUGAUGGUAUUUUUCAUUCUCUUUAGCAUAUUGGUUUUCGGAUUAUUGAUUGAUAGACUUUGCUGUAUUGACAUCCUGUGGACACACUGCGGAUUCAUUUAGUAGUAAAAGACUGUAUUUAGAAAGAGAGACUGUAAACUUUAUACCCUCCUACUAGCAUGGAAUACUAAACUAAAUAUGAACCCUCCAAAAUUAAGUAAUCUUAAGAGGCCAAUUGUACUUUAAAAAAAUAUAUCCAUUAGCCUACAACUGACUUCACAAACUGCAGUGAAACAAACCUUAGGUUGAAACUUGAAAGUCUCCACUAACUUAGCUUACAAAGUGGAGGAUUCCACUAGCAUAUAUUAUAGAAGGGAAAAUUGGUCAAAACCCCCUAAGUUUUGACCGGGUUUGGCGAGAACCCCCUAAUGUUGUCCAAGCUUGGCGUAAACCCCCUUUCUGUUAAGCACCUCCUUAAGUUUCCAUCCAUUAAUAGUUUGUCUGUCCAUUAUACCCUUAACUUCUGUCAGUUUGUCUAAACCCCUCAAAAAAUCGUUAACAAAAUUUAGAAAUUGUAAUCCAAACGGCUUCAAAUAAGUUAUGUUAACGAUUUUUUGGAGGGUUUAGACAAACUGUUUGAAUUAAGGGUAUAAUGGCAAACAAACUAUGAAUGGACGGAAACUUGGGGGUUGCUUAACAGAAGGGGGUUUACGCCAAGCUUGGACAACAUUAGGGGGUUCUCGCCAAACCCGGUCAAAUGUGGGGGGUUUUGACCAAAUUUCCCAUUAUAGAAUACAGAUUCAACGUCCUAUCAGUUUGGUGUGUAGUUAACAUUGGUUCUCACGAAAUAGAAAAAAGAGAAGAUUUCUCUAACUGGACACAGUAAAUUGGGGAAGUUCUAUUUAUGGCAAGUAGUUGUCAUAUACAGGAGGCAGACUUGGGCUUAACCCCUCAAAUAACAAAGUAAAGUACAAAUUACUAUAAUCCUGUAUUAAAUAAAGGUUUGUUUCUUGGGAAUUCUGUUCUUUCAUACUUGUUUUGUGUUACUUUGUUCUUUGACUUUAACAUCCGAAUAUAGCUUAGAUUGUUGUUUCUUUCAACUUUUGGACUUCUAACGGCCCCUUGCUAAUUUUGGCAGAGUGGGUUGAAACCGAUAGAAAUUGCUGCACGGCAUGCAAAUCUUACUGAAGUUGGAAUUCUGUUUCCUGUUACCUCUCCUAUUCCAACAUUCUCAGACUGGAGCAUCAAAGGAAUAAUGAAGUAUAUGAAUCCUGAAGAAGCUAGACAACGGGUAUUCAUAUAAAUCCUUACUUCUUGGGUUACACGGUAUUUAGCCUUAAUGUUUUAUUUUUAUUUUUUCCAUCUCUUUACGCUUUAUGGCCAUUUAAGCUUUAACUUUCCGACUGAAUGUCUGAUAUCUAGCAAAUAUAUUUAAAUCACUUGUUGGAAGUAUCUAUGCUAGUAUGCCCUUGGUUUCACAUAUUGCUAUCAUGGUGUCUGACUGUCUGUCGUAUUAAUUGGUGUAAUUGUUCGUCACCAUUCAUUUUUUCUAUGAUUAUUCAUUUACAGCUAUUUUAUCCAAAACCUUAAUAGCAACCUCAAGUACGAGAAAUAAGAUCAUUAUGGAGUUGCGUAAGGAAAAACAUCUCCACAUCAGUACCUGCUUCCAACCGAAGUGAACAAGGCUUGUCAAGGACUCAUAUUAUAAGAACACCAAAAUCACGAGGUAGAGUGGCAUUAUGACCACUCUUCAAAAGAAUUUUGACAGGUCAUUGUAGAGAAAUCAUCCAACACACUCUGAAACAUUUUAUUUGUGAAAGGCUUUAAAUGUUUGUGUAGCCAAUAUGAAAUGCACUAUAUUAAGAAUUCUUAUAAACUUGGAAAGAUAUAACCGUUGGGAAAAUCGAUGAUAAAUCAAUAAACCCUAGUGCGGAAUAACCCAAGAUCUAGAAGAAACAAGUAAUGAUAAUAAGAAAAACGAAACCAAUACACAAGAUAUACGUGGUGGAACCCUCAUGGGGAAUAAACCACCACAAGCAAAACAAAGAACUUUAUUAUCUUCCACCAAAAGGAUUACAAGAUGAGAUCUCACACAAUUCAAUCUCACACCCUUUACAAGAAGAACACAAACCUAGAAAUCCCCCAACAAAGAUUGCUCCCAAGUUUUCGCCAAAGCCUCCCAAACCUCAAAUCUCCAAGUUUUGAAUCUCCCAAAACUCCCUUAGACUUUUGUUUCUCAUGGCUUCCAAAACUCCUUUUAAGGUUUCCUACACCAUCAUGGCUUUAUAUAGUGUAUUACAAGGUAAAUUAGGUUUUACCACAUUAUGGGCCCAAAAUAGGCCCAUAGACACUUUACCGUCGAGAGGCAAUAAACCUGUCAGAACUGCUGUCCAGAGGCACUUUUCCUGUCAGAACUUUGAAGCCGUUUUCCUGCCAAAAUACGUAUUUACAGACGACGUGCCAUCUACCAUUGGAAAGCUGAGAGAGUCCUCUUUCCAAGCCAAAAGACAGAUCGCCAUUCGGAGUUCCGAGCACAAAGUUAUGACGUUUUUCUACAACGUAUUAAAACUGAACAUAACCAAAAAAACUGAACAACAAUUCUCCACCUCGACGAAGAUUCUCAAAUCUGAGCCGACACCUUCAAAGAACGCCAAUCUCCAUAAACCAGAAUUCAAACUACCAAUGCGCCACCAUGGUAUGAAUUCAACCGGAUCUUCUAGGUCACCAACAAAAUUCUUUGUGUUACUCCACCCUUUCGGGUACCGAUCAACAAUGAUCAUGCAAGUCCAAGUUUUCCUUGGACUUACCCACCUUUGGAACCCACUUCUUUGUCAUCCGGACUCUUUGAAUUCCAGGUAAUGUAGAAUCUCCAUGAGAAUGUGCAUCCUCAAUCUUCAACUUAGAUGUUCUAAGGUCCGACCAGUUACUGCUUCUCCCAACAGUACAUACAAGCCUCUACGUUGGCUUCCAUCAAUGACCAAAGUGUUUCCUCGGUAUACCUUCAUUACUCCACCAUAACAAGAGUAAUUAUAACCAACAGAAUCUAACUUAGAUAGACUAAUUAUAUUCCGCUUUAACCUCGGCACGUGUUUUACAGCCUGGAUUGAAUGAACAUUACCAUCAAACAUCCUUAAGUGAACAUCACCGACUCCCUUUAGUCGUAUACCCGAGCCAUCUCCUGUAAACACCUUCCCAUGACAAUCCUCAUACCGACUAAAAUAUGAGCGAUUAGCACACAUGUGCUCUGUGGCACAACUAUCUAACAACCAUUCGUUUUGUGUAACCAACGUAGACAUCACAAAACAAAACUCUCCCUCAUCAUCACUAGGGGCAACCGCUAGAUUAGCAUGAUGGGAACUUUUUGCCGAAUUAGUUCCAUCAUCUUCUGCCAAGCAAUCCUUUCUCAAGUGACCAGGAUGACCACACUUAUAGCAAUUACCGAAAAAACGAUGUUUUUUCCCUUUUGUCUUCUUCCCAGAAUCACUACUUGUACCUGUACCAUUCUUUGAGCGUGUUUCCCAAGAAAUCAACGCACCUGUAACUUCUGAAAGAGUAACCUUUGAUUUACCAUAAAGCAAAGUUGUUGCCAAGUGCUUAUAUGACUCUGGAAGUGACCAUACCAAUUGCAAAGCUUUAUCCUCAUCCUUAAUCUCUUCUCCUAGGGAUUCUAAACCAGAAAUGAUCGAAUUGAAAGUUGACAAGUGAUCAGAAACCGAUAUACCUUCCUCCAUGUGCAAAAGAUGCAACUGCUCAUUUAGAUGAAGCCGAUUUGUGAGCGUCUAUGCCAUGUACAAACUCUCCAACUUUUCCCAGAGUUCUUUUGCCGUGGAAACUCCAUUUAAAGUAACGUUUAAUAGGAUGUUCAUCGUCAGACACAAUCUGAUUUGACUUGUUGCCUUCCGAUCUUUCUUCUUCCAUGCAUCAUCGAUCUUUUCUUCCAUCUCUGCAUUGUUUCCUAAACUCUCUUGACCCUUUUUCGGUACAAGAGGAGGACCAUCAAGUGCAUCAUCCAAUUCGAGCAUCACCAAGUAAUCCCGAACUUGAAUUUGCCAUAAACCAAAGUUCAUGACUCCAUCGAACUUCUCAAUAUCAUACUUCGAAAACUUCGUUUCAGACAUCUUCUACAACCUAAGCUCUUGAUACCAAAUUGUUGGGAAAAUCGAUGAUAAAUCAAUAAACCCUAGUGCGGAAUAACCCAAGAUCUAGAAGAAACAAGUAAUGAUAAUAAGAAAAAUGAAACCAAUAAACAAGAUAUACGUGGUGGAACCCUCACGGGGAAUAAACCACCACAAGCAAAACAAAGAACUUUAUUAUCUUUCACCAAAAGGAUUACAAGAUGAGAUCUCACACAACUCAACCUCACACCCUUUACAAGAAGAACACAAACCUAGAAAUCCCCCAACAAAGAUUGCUCCCAAGUUUUCGCCAAAGCCUCCCAAACCUCAAAUCUCCAAGUUUUGAAUCUCUCAAAACUCCCUUAGACUUAGACUUUUGUUUCUCAUGGCUUCCAAAACUCUUUUUCAACUCCUUUUAAGUUCCCUACACCAUCAUGGCUUUAUAUAGUGUAUUACAAGGUAAAUUAGGUUUUACCACGUUAUGGGCCCAAAAUAGGCUCAUAGACACUUUACCGUCCAGAGGCAAUAAACCUGUCAGAACUGCUGUCCAGAGGCACUUUUCCUGUCAGAAAUGUGAAGCCGUUUUCCUGCCAAAAUACGUAUUUCCAGACGACGUGCCAUAUACCAUUGGAAAGAUGAGAGAGUCCUCUUUCCAAACCAAAAAACAGAUCGCCAUUCGGAGUUCCGAGCACAAAGUUAUGACUGUUCGGAAUUCCGAGCACAAAGUUAUGAUUGUUUUUCUACAACGUAUUAAAACUGAACAUAACCAAAAAAACUGAACGACAAUAACUAUAUGGGUUUGCUUAAUCUACAAGCAUCACAUCCUAAUACAAAUGUGUAAAGGGUUGUCCUUAGAUAACAAGGGAUGUGAAACUGAAAUUCCUAAUUUACAAGCAUCUCGUCCUAAUCAAUUUGUGUAUUUUUUUCUACAGUUGGAGGUUGGUAUAUAUUAUGAUAUACGAAUGCUGUAGCAUAGAGAAAAUGGUGGUAAAUGUGAAGAAAAACCAGAACGGUGUACAACAAUUUAUGAUAAACUUGUAAAAGAAAAUAUGCGAAAAAGGUACCCUUACAUAAUUUUAAAUUUUUAACUAUUUUUCUCAUUUUAGGUUUUAUUACCAAUCCCAUUGUAACUAUUUAUUUAUGUUUUUCUGAAUAGGUGUAAAUUCUUAAUAGGCGUUCUAGCAAAAGAAGCGGAUCCAAGGCUAAGUCAGUAUAAUUGUUAUUUAGCCGAGCUUAAGGAUGUAAUCAAAGGGACAAAGCCUAUACGAUAUAAUAGUAUCUACGUCACCAAAAACUAUUUGUGCAUAUAAAGGAAUGAAG
rnacentral:lncRNA from 1 species